UACGGGAGGUGCGAGCGUUGUCCGGAAUCACUGGGCGUAAAGGGCGCGUAGGCGGCCUGAUAAGUAGGGGGUGAAAUCCUGCGGCUUAACCGCAGGGCUGCCUUCUAAACUGUCAGGCUAGAGCACGGUAGAGGCAGAUGGAAUUCCCGGUGUAGCGGUGGAAUGCGUAGAGAUCGGGAAGAACAUCAGUGGCGAAGGCGGUCUGCUGGGCCGUUGCUGACGCUGAGGCGCGACAGCGUGGGGAGCAAACAGG
rnacentral:rRNA from 1 species